GUUUCUUGAUCAUGGAUUUGUCACCUGUUAUCACAAAUGAGAAAACCAUAAUGAAAAAUAGACCAUACUUAAUUUUUCAAUAAUAUAUAUAUAUGUAUAUGCCAAACUAUGAUUAUGACAUUAGCAACAUAUAAUAAUUAAUACUCUAAUGGAAUUGCCAAAUUAUAUAUAUAUUUCCAAGAAAGCUCAGUCUUUCUAGCCUGGAAUAAUCAAGAUUCAAGACCAAUCAGUCAUUUCAAGUGUCUAUCGAAUUCGAUUCGAGUUUUCAUCAGAACUAAAUAAAAAAUAUAUAAUAAUAUUACUUCCAUCAAAUAUAUCUUGAUUAAUCUUCUCACUUAUAUACAUAAAUUCAAGAAUUUUUAUUUGAUAAUUAUCAUAUUGUGUAGUUCAGAGGAGUACUUGCAUCGUCAAAACAGAGAUAAAAAAAAAAUGGAAAAAAAGAGCAUUAAAGUUUGUGAAACGAUAUAUAUCAAGAAAACAUUGCAAGAACUAUACAGAAUUCAAGAGCAAUAAAAGAUUUAAGAAGAAAAAAUGAUCUUACACAUGCGCUUGAACUUUUCUU
rnacentral:misc_RNA from 1 species